rnacentral:lncRNA from 1 species
AAAAAUCCAAAACUGGUGUUAAAACCCUUUCUCGGCUAAUUUCAGAAUUCCGACACGGUGGCACUGCCGUGCUUCGGUGACAACACCGUGGUUUGCCUCGGGCUGGCUGUUUUCGGCCAGUUUCAACUGAUUUCGAGUUGUUUGUACUCAUCCAUGCGAGAAAACAUGUUAAGGGGUCUCGGUUAGCAAAAAAAAAAUCGAAAAAUAGAAGCUUACUGAUGGCAGGGUUUUCUGUUGCGGUGGCUCCGCCGGCUCACCUUCGCGAUUGAGUGCUUUUCUUCGGUCAACCUAUGAAAAAUAAAAUGGUGAAUACAAUGGUGAAAAAAUUGCAUGAAACGGGAAUCGGGAAUGGCUUCAUCGGAGGUAAUUUUUUAUUUUUCCCACGGCGGUGCCGCCGAACUUUACCCGCAAUUUUCAACUUAUCCGUCGGUUUUUUUGCUCCGAUUUAGCCAUGAGAGUGUUUAAAAUUGAAUUUCGAGAGAAUGAAAUUUUUUUUACCUCUUUUGGCAAUCAUAAGUGGCUCCGGCAUGGUGGCGAGUGGUGGUCGACUCUUUCUCC